GUCGCAGGUUCGAAUCCUGCACGACCCACCAAUUUCAGCAUUUAACUCAGAUGCUGAACGUGAAGGAUAACGUUGCGUCAGUAACGGCCCGAAGGGCGAGGCAAAGCCGAGUCAUCCUGCACGACCUACCA
rnacentral:sRNA from 1 species